AUUGAACGCUGGCGGCAUGCCUUACACAUGCAAGUCGAACGGCAGCACGGGAGCAAUCCUGGUGGCGAGUGGCGAACGGGUGGGUAAUAUAUCGGAACGUGCCCAGUCGUGGGGAUAACGUAGCGAAAGCUACGCUAAUACCGCAUACGAUCUAUGGAUGAAAGCGGGGGAGUCGCAAGACCUCGCGCGAUUGGAGCGGCCGAUAUCAGAUUAGGUAGUUGGUGAGGUAAAGGCUCACCAAGCCGACGAUCUGUAGCUGGUCUGAGAGGACGACCAGCCACACUGGGACUGAGACACGGCCCAGACUCCUACGGGAGGCAGCAGUGGGGAAUUUUGGACAAUGGGCGCAAGCCUGAUCCAGCAAUGCCGCGUGCAGGAUGAAGGCCUUCGGUUGGUAACUAGCUUUGUUACGGUAACGAACGGUAGAGCUCUAAUACAGUUUGUCUAAUGACGGUACCGUAAG
rnacentral:rRNA from 1 species